UACGUAGGGUGCGAGCGUUGUCCGGAAUUAUUGGGCGUAAAGAGCUCGUAGGCGGUCUGUCGCGUCUGCUGUGAAAACUCAGGGCUUAACCCUGAGCUUGCAGUGGGUACGGGCAGACUAGAGUGCGGUAGGGGAGACUGGAAUUCCUGGUGUAGCGGUGAAAUGCGCAGAUAUCAGGAGGAACACCAAUGGCGAAGGCAGCUCGCUGGGACGGUACUGACGCUGAGGCGCGAAAGCGUGGGGAGCAAACAGG
rnacentral:rRNA from 1 species